GUGCGUGUGGGUUUUCGCAUUGGUCUGGGGGUGGUAUGCUGCGUGAAUGCUGGUGUGCGUGGGCAGCGUGUGGUUUGUGUGGUGGGGUAUGAGCACCUCUGCCUCCUUUGAGUUGCCGUGCAAGGGCCUAAACAUAGCAGGCAUUUGUGGACAUAUAUUUGUGUGUGCACUGUGUUAGGUGUGAGUGUCUGCCUGCCCCACGCACGUGUGACAAGGAGGCCUCCCUCUGGGCCAGGCUGCUGUCCCCUGAACCUGGUGAACAAAUCUCUAACAGCAAUCAUAAUAACAAUAAAUAACAUAACUAAUAAAAACAGUAGUUAACAGUCCCUCCCUAGUAGGAUAACAAUAAAAUGUCAGGGGAGGCGUUUUGAGGAGCCAGUGAAGGAGUCACCAUCUCAGAAUCUAAAGGGAAGACUGGAAAGGAAGGAAGUUAGCUUCUUUAAAUGCCUUUGAGGGGCUGGGGUUGGGAAUCCCCUCCCCAGACUGGGUUCUUGGCCCACAGGAGGGGAGGAAAGCCAGGAGGCCACUUUUCUGCUGCUUUUUCUAUGGCGUUUACUCCACAUAUGGGGUGGUUAGUAGCUUUGGGGGCUCUCUGAGAACCCCUGUUUUAAAGAGGAGGCCAAAUGUGCCGAGUCAGGCCGAGGGGCAAAGAAGGACGGGGCGAUGACCACAGUCUCCGGUCCUGGCCGCCGGGCGCCGAAGUGCCCGAGGACGAGCCGCGGGGCCGGGGAGAAAGCAGAAAAAUAUUUAUGGCCGCCCGCCCGGGAGUGAGGAGAGCGGGCGAGUGAGGCUGGGGCUCCUGCAAGUGAAAGUUCCUUUCCUGGAGUCUUUUUAAAAAGAAAGGAGAGGUUGAGGCGCCUUGAAUUUUCCUCCUGGAGAUUAGAGCCCAGCGGAUUUCUGUAAAGGAAGCGAAGACCGAGGUCCGGGUUCCUGCAGUGUCAGCCUCCUUCUCUCCAGAUCAAGACAGAAAGAGACACCAGAGAAGAGACUAUGUGUGUGUGACGAGAGAAAGAAAACAGAAGGUGGUAAAGAAGGGGAAAUAAGUGCCCCAAUCUUUUAAAAGCUGCUUUUCCUGAGUUAAAUAGAACCUUUAGUAAGUUCAGGAAGAAAAUAAAUAUAUGUAGUGAUUUCCCCCCUCCUAGUUCUGAUCUCUCCAAAUGAGCAAGCUUAGGAAAGAACUGUGGAUUUGAAGU
rnacentral:lncRNA from 1 species